CCAUGGCGGUUUCUUACGUUUGCCGUAUGGUUACAUUACUUCACACUGCUCCAAACAAAGCGAUAAUAACGUGUUUCAAGAGUAUUACACUAAUUGUUGUACUUAUAAAAUUCGAAAAUGUUAACACAGCAUUUAGUAUAAGAUCACUUCUUGGCUAUUUAUAGAAGCUCGAACUUGGACACUAUACUGGCCACGAGCUAAGAACUGUGGAAUAUGCUCAUCUGGAAUAAAUACCAGUUUGUUUCUAAUAAAGUAAUCCCCCUACAGUAAGAUAUGAAAUAUUAUUAAAGUCUAAAGAGGGUAAAAGAAAUAUUUUAGGUAUACCUGUAAUACUGGGCAGUUACAUGGCAAGCCCAAUGCCAGAAAUGGCUCAGGACAUGGGACACCAGGUGGAAAAGGUAAUUCUGCACAUAAAUCUUCAUAGUCACAUGAACCAACAUUGUCAACACAAGGGACUUCAAUCCACAGGAACCCAACUUUCUUUUGAACUCGUACAAUAACCUUCACACAACCCAAGUUAAUCAUAAUCAAUAUAAAAACAGAAGUGUUGUCACACAAACUUUCAGUGGGGUUGUAAUGUCUCCUCUUAAAAUGGAAUCAACUGUGACAGUGACAUUCCCAGGUAUUGACAAUGGUUCUGAAAGGUCAAAUUCAUUUAUCUGGGCUAAGGCAUCAGGUCCUGAACAUGUCGACCAAUCAAAUUUCUUCAGCUGAAGAAAACAAAAAGAAGCAUAUUAUUCACAAUUUAGACAAAGUAUAAACUUAAUUAAAAUACAGGUGACAACAAUGCCCUUUUGUAAUUGAAGCUGCCAUAGUUUGCUAAUUAUCACCUUAAAAGUUAAUCCAGGUUUUCCAUACCGAACCACGUCGUCAUUUGCAUAUUUUUCGUCCAAUCGUUGAAUUACAUGCAUUUGACUUUGGGACCUUGAAAUGAAACGGCCAAGGCCAUUAGACAUUACAACAAGAAAUGACAAAAGGUAAAACACACAUUUUUUAGACAUAUUCAUGAAAGUUGAGACUAAAACGAGAAACAAUACGGCAAAGAGCCCACAGAAACUUCAAAAAGACUGUAGAAAAAUCAAAAUCUUGAAUAAGUAUGGUCUGCUGGUGUACAGUAAACAAAGAUUUAUCACGUGCAACGUUGCCUCCUCUGGGGCGAAGGCGGAAUUUCCAUUCCAUCUAGAUUCAAAAUGUUUACAAACAUAAACGAGAUUAAAAAAAAGAAAGAAGUUCUCUGUAAACACCAGUCGGACAAAAAAUUCCUAAAAACAAAUUCCAAAUUUCAACCCACAAUCUCUCCGAUGCUUUAUCUUGCAACUUAUCGUUAGACUAGAAGCAUAAACUUAAGAAAAAGCUAAAACGUAUUUGUAAAAAAGAUUUGUAAAUUUAACACCCUGAAUCUCGAAUUUCCGGCCCGUUUGGAAGUAUUUAGUGCAAUUUUUCGUCCCCGCACCCAGGCCAUUCAGCUCUGUUAUCACUUAUCAGUCCCCCAACGCUGUAACCCAGCUUUGUAGCAAAUUCUCUAUCUAUUGAUUUGCGAUCUUCCUAUGAUAUUUCUUAAAUCUUAAAUUAAAGCUAUUUGCUCAAACCAUUUUCUAUACCAACGAGUAUUUUCUUGUGGUAUUUCCCGCCAAGCUGUGGUGCGAUCUAGCGGCAGACUAUACAAACGACCAUUUGGACUACACUACACAAAUCAGCGUGUCUUGUCUCUUGUGUAGAUGUAGAUGGGGAUUGGCCCUGAGCCAAUCGGGGUUCGCAUUUCGGGGCGUCCCAUUACAUUUGCAAUUAGUCACCACUAAAGGAUUUUACCUCAAUAAAAUAACUAACAAAUAAAACCUGAAUACGAAUAUCAGCGGAAUGACUACACGAAGGUAUCACAUUGUAACAAAAAAGAAAAAACGGAAAGCCCACACUUACCGGUAACUACUAACUAAUGCCAUCUGGAUUGGAGUAAGCAGCCAUCUUGGAUUGAGCAGACUGAGCAGGCGGAGCUAACUAAUGCCAUCUGGAUGGGCAAUAGGCGCGACCAUAAACUGCAUAAAGUUUGAUCAAAGAUUCGAUUAAUUAGCCUCGAAGUGAUGGUGAUACUUGGUAGGUUAAGAGAGCAGUAGUUUUCUGCAUAGUAUAAUUUUCGUAUUUAUAUCUUUGAGGUAUCUAAUUGGCUCAAUUUGUAGACAAAAUUUUUUGAGUGGGAUAAAUGGGAUUCUAAGAAUGUUGGGGAUCUCUCCUUCUUGUCAUAAGAAUAAAUUGAAAAAGCAGGUCUUCUAAAAGACUAUUAACAGAAAGUUUUUUUUUGUCUGUUUAUUUUAAUAUUUAUUGAAUAUUUAACAGAAGAUGUUGAUUUUGUGUUGUUACCUAAAACAUUAUGGAACUUGCACAUUCCUUCACAUUAACCAAUAGCCUGGAAGGUUGUUGAUAAUCGAAUGCUCACCAAUUAUCUGUGGAUGGAAAUAUACUUAACAGUGCUCAAAUGAAACAAAUAUCCAGAAACUCAGAAAACAUGCAAAGAAAUUUGACAAAAAAAAAGGUACUGUAGAUAAAAUGACAGAAGGUCUUCCAAAAUCAGUUCAACAGCUAGUUAAAUGCAUGUUUUAUGAAAAAACUGUUGAAAAAGUUCUGUGAAAUAUUUUCAAAAUUCUUGAAACAAGCAACAUACAUCUGUGAAUGAAAUCAAGAUAUCAGACUUAUGAAGAAUUGCUUGUGGAAAAGCAAUCAAUCCAGGAAAGUAAGUUGAAUGGGAAACCAAACUUUGGUGGCUGAUAAAAAAAGGAACAUGGUUUAGAAAGAUGUCAUAUUCAAAUCAGCAGCCUUGGAUGUUUGCUUACAGAUUAUUUUCCACCAUUUCCUUACAGUUAAGUCAUCUUACUGGACAACAGCAUGGACCUCAGUUAUAAUGUUUACACAUUGUUUUGCCUUCAUAUCUCCCCUUUUUUGAAAUUCAUUUUCAAAAAUUUUCAUUCCACGUUAAAAUGGGGUUUUCUCGAGUUCCCGUUACGUUCAACCUGGUCCUUCCGGGCUUAACAAUCUGGGCAACAUUUGUCUCAUGAACAGCAUGUUGCAAGAAGAGCGACACUGGGCUGCAUUGAACAAGGUGAAUCCGCUAGGCAAUCAAGGUCGAAUCCAGGUGGCGGUGGCCAUUAAUAACAAUGGACGAGGAUAAUAGAGCAAAAGGGCAACGCGCACGUGGCAACGCCGCAUUAUAGAAGUGGUCUCAAGUCUCAACUCGCAAUCUUUCAAUUGGGUGACUCAUUAAGUUCUUCCCGAUCAACGAGGCUGCAUUCACGUUCCUGCGAAGAAUUCCAACAUGGAAAGAAGCAACUUCGAUCUGGUGAAUGUCCACCGCCGUAGCCAUCGAUGUGGAAGGAGUCGAAAGAAAAGUCCACAAGUAAUGGAUCUCUUAAGAUGAAAAGGAGGGGCAAAGAAAAAGAAUCGCCGACUUGUCGACCGAGGGAAAGAAGAAGACAGAAAACAGAUGACAAAGCAGCAGCACGCGGGAAAAUAAAAAAAGGCGAACACAAUAUAUACUGUGCAUACAAAACUUGUAUGGGAUUCUGUGCAUAUAUAAAUCACGUUUUCCUUUUGUUAUCAUGGGGGGGUAGAACUCUAUCAUCUUUUCGUCAUAUUUAGAAAAAAAUGUGUUUUUUUUUUCUAUCUCGUCUAGUUGAAAUGUUUUGUCGAGUCAACUGCCGACUUUGGAUUGUGCAAUUCCCGUUGGAAUUUUCUGUUUUCUGGCCAUAUUUCGUGGAAAACUUUUUAUAUAUCCGUGAUAUUGUCUCUUUGGAUGUGUUGGGAGUCGACUGUUGCGUGUUGGAGGCGGCAUCUUUUACAUAAAUAGGCGCGC
rnacentral:lncRNA from 1 species